rnacentral:tRNA from 1 species
GGCGGAAUUGGCAGACGCGCUGGUUUUAGGUUCCAGUGUCUACGACGUGCAGGUUCAAGUCCUGUUAUC